GUGCCAGCAGCCGCGGUAAUUCCAGCUCCAAUAGCGUAUAUUAAAGUUGUUGUGGUUAAAAAGCUCGUAGUUGAACCUUGGGCCUGGCUGGCCGGUCCGCCUCACCGCGUGCACUGGUCCGGCCGGGCCUUUCCCUCUGUGGAACCCCAUACCCUUCACUGGGCGUGGCGGGGAAACAGGACAUUUACUUUGAAAAAAUUAGAGUGCUCCAGGCAGGCCUAUGCUCGAAUACAUUAGCAUGGAAUAAUAAAAUAGGACGCGCGGUUCUAUUUUGUUGGUUUAUAGGACCGCCGUAAUGAUUAAUAGGGACAGUCGGGGGCAUCAGUAUUCAACUGUCAGAGGUGAAAUUCUUGGAUCAGUUGAAGACUAACUACUGCGAAAGCAUUUGCCAAGGAUGUUUUCAUUAAUCAGGAACGAAAGUUAGGGGAUCGAAGACGAUCAGAUACCGUCGUAGCCUUAACCAUAAACUAUGCCGACUAGGGAUCGGACGGUGUUAUUCAUGACCCGUUCGGCACCUUACGAGAAAUCAAAGUGCUUGGGCUCCAGGGGGAGUAUGGUCGCAAGGCUGAAACUUAAAGAAAUUGACGGAAGGGCACCACCAGGGGUGGAGCCUGCGGCUUAAUUUGACUCAACACGGGGAAACUCACCAGGUCCAGACACAAUAAGGAUUGACAGAUUGAGAGCUCUUUUCUUGAUUUUGUGGGUGGUGGUGCAUGGCCGGUUCUUAGUUGGUGGGGUGACUUGUCUGCUUAAUUGCGAUAACGAACGAGACCUUAACCUGCUUAAAUAGCCCGCAUUGCU
rnacentral:rRNA from 1 species